GACGAACGCUGGCGGCGUGCUUAACACAUGCAAGUCGAACGGUAAGGCUCUUCGGAGUACACGUGUGGCGAACGGGUGCGUAACACGUGACCAACCUACCCUUAACAUCGGGAUAACAUUUGGAAACAGAUGCUAAUACCGGAUACGAACUUGGAAGGCAUCUUCUGAGUUGGAAAGCUCCGGCGGUUAGGGAUGGGGUCGCGGCCUAUCAGCUUGUUGGUGAGGUAAUGGCUCACCAAGGCGACGACGGGUAGCCGGCCUGAGAGGGCGACCGGCCACACUGGGACUGAGAUACGGCCCAGACUCCUACGGGAGGCAGCAGUGGGGAAUAUUGCACAAUGGGCGCAAGCCUGAUGCAGCAACGCCGCGUGCGGGAUGACGGCCUUCGGGUUGUAAACCGCUUUCAGCAGGGACGAAGUG
rnacentral:rRNA from 1 species